rnacentral:rRNA from 1 species
UACGGAGGUGGUAAGCGUUGCUCGGAAUCACUGGGCGUAAAGGGCGCGUAGGCGGGGAGGUAAGUCGGGUGUGAAAUCCCUCGGCCCAACCGAGGAACUGCGCCCGAGACUGCUUCUCUUGAGUCCCGGAGAGGAAGGUGGAAUUCCCGGUGUAGCGGUGAAAUGUGUAGAGAUCGGGAGGAACACCGGUGGCGAAGGCGGCCUUCUGGACCAACACUGACGCUGAAUAGCGAAAGCCAGGGGAGCAAACGGG